UUACCGGGUCCGGACACAUUGAGGAUUGACAGGUUACUACUUAAAAUAUUGUAUAUUAUUUUUAUAAUAAUAUAUUUUUAUUUUUUGUAAAAAUAUGCUAGUCCUUUCAUGAUUAUGUGAUAGGUGGUGCAUGGCCGUUCUUAGUUCGUGGAGUGAUCUGUCUGCUUAAUUGCGUUUCACAAUAGGAUUUAUAUACAAUUGUUACAUUGACCCCUUUUUUUCUUAUUUUUUUAAGAAAUUUGCGCGUGUCUUUGUAAUCUACAAUUUUAAAUCCUGAAAGCAACGAACGUGACCGCAACCUCUUGUUGCCUCUAAUAAUUUAUUUUAUAAUAAUUUCGGUUAUUGUAAUUAAAAAAAGAGGCCUUUUAAACUAGAGGGACCGCUGUAAUUUUCUUUAAACCAGAGGAAGGUUGCGGCAAUAACAGGUCUGUGAUGCCCUUAGAUGUUCCGGGCUGCACACGUGCUACAAUGAUUAUUGCAUUGAGCAUCUCAUAUUAAUACACUGUAUUUGUGCUAUUAUUUUGCAACUUCAAAUUUUUGUCGUUGUUUAAAAUAUAUACGUUACAAACAGUAAAGCCUGCUUCGAAAGUAAGCGGGUAAUCAAUUAGAAGUAAUGAUUUCCUUUUUUUAUGCACAAAUAUAUACUACACUUUUACCCGGGCUAUGCUUGUCAUAUGCUUUUGUGUGUAUUAGUUUUUGUAGUAUGUGCAAUUAUUAAUUCAUGGUGGGGACAGACCAUUGUUAAUUGUUGGUCUCGGUCUUAACUAGGAAUGCCUUGUACGGGUCUUUGGUUCAACAAACCACCCGGAAUACGUCCCUGCCCUUUGUACACACCGCCCGUCGCUCUUACCGAUGGAUUAUAUUAUGAGUUUAAGGGACUUCUGUAUAAUAAAUAUUUUCGAAUUUUUAUGUACACGGAAA
rnacentral:rRNA from 1 species